UGGGGAAUAUUGGACAAUGGGCGAAAGCCUGAUCCAGCCAUGCCGCGUGUGUGAAGAAGGUCUUCGGAUUGUAAAGCACUUUUAGUUGGGAGGAAGGGCAUUAACCUAAUACGUUAGUGUUUUGACGUUACCGACAGAAUAAGCACCGGCUAACUCUGUGCCAGCAGCCGCGGUAAUACAGAGGGUGCAAGCGUUAAUCGGAAUUACUGGGCGUAAAGCGCGCGUAGGUGGUUUGUUAAGUUGGAUGUGAAAUCCCCGGGCUCAACCUGGGAACUGCAUUCAAAACUGACUGACUAGAGUAUGGUAGAGGGUGGUGGAAUUUCCUGUGUAGCGGUGAAAUGCGUAGAUAUAGGAAGGAACACCAGUGGCGAAGGCGACCACCUGGACUAAUACUGACACUGAGGUGCGAAAGCGUGGGGAGCAAACA
rnacentral:rRNA from 1 species